GAGACCGGCGCACGGGUGCGUAACGCGUAUGCAAUCUACCUUUUACAGGGGAAUAGCCCAGAGAAAUUUGGAUUAAUGCCCCAUAGUAUAAUUGAAUGGCAUCAUUUAAUUAUUAAAGUCACAACGGUAAAAGAUGAGCAUGCGUCCCAUUAGUUAGUUGGUAAGGUAACGGCUUACCAAGACAAUGAUGGGUAGGGGUCCUGAGAGGGAGAUCCCCCACACUGGUACUGAGACACGGACCAGACUCCUACGGGAGGCAGCAGUGAGGAAUAUUGGACAAUGGGCGCAAGCCUGAUCCAGCCAUGCCGCGUGCAGGAAGACGGUCCUAUGGAUUGUAAACUGCUUUUAUACAGGAAGAAACACUCCGACGUGUCGGAGCUUGACGGUACUGUAGGAAUAAGGAUCGGCUAACUCCGUGCCAGCAGCCGCGGUAAUACGGAGGAUCCAAGCGUUAUCCGGAAUCAUUGGGUUUAAAGGGUCCGUAGGCGGUUUAAUAAGUCAGUGGUGAAAUCUGGUCGCUCAACGAUCAAACGGCCAUUGAUACUGUUAGACUUGAAUUAUAAGGAAGUAACUAGAAUAUGUAGUGUAGCGGUGAAAUGCUUAGAUAUUACAUGGAAUACCAAUUGCGAAGGCAGGUUACUACUUAUGGAUUGACGCUGAUGGACGAAAGCGUGGGGAGCGAACAGGAUUAGAUACCCUGGUAGUCCACGCCGUAAACGAUGGAUACUAGCAGUUGGAAGCAAUUUCAGUGGCUAAGCGAAAGUGAUAAGUAUCCCACCUGGGGAGUACGUUCGC
rnacentral:rRNA from 1 species